CUUAAUCUACCAUCCCUACUAGCCGUCGCAUGCACCUUCCUUCCUGAAUUCCUCGCAACAUUCCCUCUUUCAACAAGAUUUUCGAAAUCUAUCCCCUCACCCUUGGCCUCCAAAAUAACAAAACGAGAACCUUCAAAUCGGCCAUGAUCGCCAACAUUCCUACCUUGCGAUGAGUCACUCAUCUUACCCCUCUGUCGACGUUCGACAACCAUCCAUGGGCCAAAUUCCUCCUCCUUGGCCCUAGAUUGGAGAUUUGACUUUUGAACUCUCGAACCACCUUCCACCGUCGUAUCCUCCGCCAUAGGCGCAUUUUUCUCGUAGCACAGCGUCGAGCUGUGGCCAUAGAGCCCACACGAGAAACAAAUAUUGGGUUAUCCUUCGUAUUCAACUCUUUGAAUCCUUCCAUUUAUUCUUAUUUUUGAAACUAAUGGCUUUUGCAGAUCCACACUAACAACCAGUCUCGUAAAUCUCUCUCUGACUGCUGCAUCUGUUCCAGCAUCAAUCUGAAACACUAGUCUGAUCAUACUUUCGAUGGUCCUUAGCAAAAAGUCAGAGUAAAACCCUUCAAACAGUCCUAGUAAUUGGAUCCAAACCAGUUGUUUGUCCACCUCACUGUUACUUGUUGAGAAAUCCGCAGACCAAGCUCUCACCGACAAGUAAUGACCGAAUACCACCCAUGGGCCACCCAACAGUACCUUGUCAAAGUCACCCUUAUCUUGGAAAUGGACAAGGUAAAAAUCGUUCUCCAGAUCCAAUAACUGAAAUUUACCUUUUAAAUUUCAUAGAGCAGAUACCUUAUUGAGCAAGGCUUUGAAACCUAUUUUCCUACCCAACAGCUUGAUCACAACUGUUAGAGCCAUUUUCUUUUCAAUGAAUCUAUGAACCUGAUCCGAAAACGUAAUGGAAGGGAUCCCGUUACCAUCUCUGUCGUCCCAUCCGUAUCUUGUAACUCAAAGUCCUCAUCCAUACAAACAUCCCCAUUUGGAAUCGAUAAAGCACCCAUUAACUUAGCCUUAUACGAGUCCUUUGCUACAUUGUCCUCUUGCACUGUCUGGCCAUUCCCAUCUAUUAUCGGAUCAGUCAUUAUCUCUGGCUGACGCCUGACCCUUUUCGUAGCCCUUCCAACACCACAGUCCGAGGCUAUAGAGUUAGAACCAAUAGCAAAGUUAACCAACGAGAGAGUUUCAGACAUGUUAAAAUCCUCUUCUCUAUUUCUAUUUUUUUAAUAAUUGGGUAAUGAAAAUGGAUAUUAAGGAUUGAAUCCAAAUAAGAGUCUUAUUUUCUUUUGGGCCAUAAAAGAAAUUCAUUCCAUAAAAAAGAUUUAUUAAGAGUGGAACAUGACUUGUAGCUUUGGUUGGUUUGAUUUAAAAAUAUUUGAUUUGUCAGAAUUAGUUGCGGAAAAUUAAGGUCCUUCUAGUACUUAAUCAACAUAUUUUAUAGUAUUUUUAUAUGUUUUGAUUUCAUUUUUAGUUUUUAUUGUUUUAUGUUUAAAUUAUGCAAAAUAAACGUUUUUAUACAAUUUUGAGUUAUGUAAUAAUCUAAUGGGCCACUAUGGGCUUAGGGAUGAUCUAACGACUCUAUCUAGUGUGUAGGACACUGUUUUUGGGCUUAGAAAACGAAGGACGACUGUAGCAUUGAAACACGUGACACCGAGGAGUGGUGUCCAAAGUACCCAGAAAUUAAAGGCAGUGUCACGACACCAGUCUUGUGGUGUCACAACAUCAAGUGAAGAGAUGAAAUUUUAAUUAAGGUAUUUUUUGUCCACACAAAGUAACUUAAACAGCUUUUUUGGGUUGUUUAAUAACCUUAAUUAGGUCUGAUCAUAAACUCUAUAAAUAGAUAUUUUAAGUCUCAUUUGAGGAGGCUUGACUAAUUGAGUCACUUAGUUAUUUUAGGGUUUUACUUUAGUUUUUAUUUUCUUCCAAUUUAAUCCUUUACAUACUUUUUGUUCUUGUUUAACUUGGAUUCAAUUGUGCUCCAAUAGUUUAAUAUAUUAGUUUUUUUGUUAUUUCUUCGUGGAUUCCAAUUGCAAUCGAAGGGAUCUUCGUGACUAUCAAAGGAGAUUCGCUUUCGAGCUCAAAUCGAUAUUGAAACGAACUUAUUUUUCUAUUCCUUACUUUUAUUUAAUUUACUGUUUUUUUAUGUUAAAUAUGAGUUUAAGGAUUAUUGCAUCUAGACCACGAAGAGCUAAUUUCCUUAGGGAGAUUAACGAACGAAUGUGUGACUAAUUAACGGAUGAAUUAAGGUUGAGAUUCGAGUUAGCUGGUUUAAAUUAUGUGCGACUAAACCCUAGGAAGUAACACCCCUAGGAAGUAAUUUAGGAUAAACGAGAUCGAGAGAUAAGUUUACUGAGUACCUCAUAAUUUAUCCAGGUUAAGAAAGUGAGAACAAGAGGUAAGCGAGUAUUGGUCGAUUAGUUAAUUAGUUAGAGACUGAAAGGUAAUAAUUGAUUAAUUAAUAGCUAACUCGAUAAAACCUAAGUUCUGAAGUUAAUUAGGAGCACUGAAGUGAGUUGAUAUCCUUCUUGUUUUAUUGGAUUAAAUUUGGUUGUUAAUUGGUUGAUUUUUAGUUUAAUUUAAUUAAUUGAUGUUAAUUUUAUUUUUUGUAAUAUAAUUUUAAAUUGAUAUUAUUUAACCUCAUUAAUGUAGAGAGUUAAUUUAGGUCUAAUUCAACCUCCCUUGAGUAUGAUCCUUGGAAUGUUUCUCGAAGUGUUUUUUUGUAAUACUAAUCUGUAUUACAAUUUGACCUGUAUAUUUGCGGACAUCACUGUUUAAUUAUUUAUCUAUUUUAUUGCAAUAUUUUUAGUUCAGGUGUUCGCAACAUUGACCAUUUGGGUAAUGAUGUUUGGUAGAUUAGAGAAGAAUAAAUCAUAAUUUGGGGAAACUUCCCUCAGAGUCAAGACACUCUCUUAUUGGUGUCGCGGCAUUGAUUUUUUGUCCUCGUAGUCGCGAUUCUCCCCUAUUAAGGUUGCAACAUUGAAUCCCCCUGCCUUCAAGGUCGCAACUCACCUCGAUUAAAGUCGCGAUGCAUGUUUCUGUCUUCAAUGUUAUGAUAUGUCUACAUCAUGGUCGUGAUAUCUCAUUUGUCUUUUGAAAAUUUUACGUUUUAUUCCUUCCAUUAAUAUCGAUGUUAACAAGGGAUUUCAUAUACUAGUUUAUAAUCUGAAUUUAAUUUAAUAAUACGGUUAUUAAGUUUUGGAACCUGAUAACUUGUUUAUUAGAUAUGCAAAUGCAAUUGUCGUUGUUUUGACAACAAAUUUAACAUUUCACAUCUCGGAUCUCGCGAUUAGUUCAGGUGUGGGAUGUUGUAUAUUACCAUAAUCUUAUUCACACAUAUGAUUUGCUUGGAUGGUAACCAAGUCCUGGUGGCAAUAGCUUGCAACGCAACAUAUGUCAGUUCCAACUCAAAAAAUUCUAAAAUCUUGCCCAUUAGGCCAAAUCUUCCUCAAUCCGUUAGUAAAAAGUUCUACCAAAUUGUCCUUGUCAAGGGUGGAGUCCGUCUUCUCUUGAAUGCUUCAAAUACUUGAUGAUAGUUGGACUAAAGAUGAAAUAAAGUCCACGAACAUAUGUUUGCAUAAAGUGUUUAUCAUUAGGAUCAGUGACUGUCUUCUAAAGAUUGGUCCAAAACCAUUUUUUGGACAUAAGGCUUGACACAAC
rnacentral:lncRNA from 1 species